GAAGCUGCCAACAGCUGAAGGUAAGUAUCUGCUCCCUCGGUGUAAUAAAUAGUAGUCAGUACUUAAUAUUUUUCUCAUUUUUCACUCAGGGAUAAAAGAUCUACUGCAGACAUAGGGAACUGAACUGCUGCUGACUGUUGCUGUCUAACAGUUGGCAAUCCUCUUUGAGUUCUUUUACAGCCCACAGUUUCAGAAAAAUAGAUCUAUAGGACCUAACUAAAGGCUGCCAUAGAGUAGUUAAUGACAAGGGAAGAGGGAACAUUUAAGUGCACUUUAUUUAACUCAGCUGAAGACUCAAUUGCAAUGAGUAAUCAUAUAAUACCUAAGUUGAACAGCAGCUUUUGUUGAAAAGUCUAGUUAAAAUAGGUUUUCCAGAGACUUUGUUUCUAAUAACGGAUGAAACUUUUGAGUAAUAGAGAGAAAUUGCCUAUUAAACACUCUUGGAAUUUCCUAUUUUCGUUGCAGAAGACAUAGAAACAGAACUGAUAGCUUCACAGCUCUUAUAUUUGUGACUUAUGAUAUACUAUUUCCCACCUGUCAGGACAGUUUCAAAAGGAAUAUAAACAAUUUAGAAAACAAACAAAAAACCACUUUACAUAUCUUUAGCUCCUCCACCCCACCCCACCCUCUUCUGAUUAAACCUGCUGAAGACCUACUCAUGCUAAAGCAUCCUGACUAUCAAGUAGAUCUGCUUCAGGCUGACUUACCUUGAACAUGAGCUGAAAGUAUCAUAGCCAGUACAUCAUCAGUGUUUCCUAUGUCUUGUUUUAACAGCUACUAACAGAAAGCCUCCAAACGCAAUGAGAAUUCAUCAAGCAGGUUACGAGCUUCAGGAAGCAAAAGCCAGACAACUGAGAAUGUGGAUGCAGCCAAACUCCACCUGCUGUGCUGCACCUUCUUCAGCAAGCUGAGGAAAAAGCAGCUCUGAAAAUAAGAGUCUCAACACUUGUCAGAUCCCGCUGGAAGGAAUUUGCAUGUGUGAAGAGCAGCCUACAUCAGGUGCCCUUGCUGUGAACCCAGGCACGUCACAGUGUGUCUCACAGUUCUGAAUGCAAACUCACAAAGGUCCUCCGCAGCAUAGCUCAUCCCAGUCUUUGAGUCAGGCUGAAUUCAAUUGUCAGCGCUUUACAACACUGUUACAAUUGUUAUUCUGUGGGGCCAAGAUGACCGUGAAAUACAGAGGCAAGCGCACUAGAAACUCUUGCUAAUGAUCAUGUAAUUCAUUUUAGCUUCUAUGUACGCGCAGGUAACUCAUGACAAGCUUUAUUAUGAUGAGUGUAUCUGGAAGACAACGAAACCAUCUCAGCUUCAGGUCAUGUUUCCUAGCUUCACAUCCAAGUUUUCCUAUCAAUAGCAAUUUUAUUUCACAAAGAUACAUAAAAAUCCUAUAAAUCAGAGAAAGAUACUUGGCAGCUGUAGCAUCCAGUAAAAGAAAAGUUUCAAAGUUUAUGCUGUAAAUGAACAAAGGAUGAAGAAUUCUUCCUGUUAGCCCAUGAAGAAAUAUGAACUUGUGUUAGCCUGAAUAGCUUUGUCAUUUAAUUUUAAUGUUACAGUGUUACAGUGUUUAGAGCGAGAAGGUCAGUAGAAAUGUUACACAGAUUUUAUGCAGAAGCAGUAAAACGUUUCUUCUGCGUUGUUCUCUUUGCAGAAUGUAAACUGUUAUUUACAGCACCAGUUUAAGUGGUUUCCAUUUACUUCUGAAGCCUCAAGUCAUAUAAAAAGUUUGACGAGGCCAGUAUGCUCUCCAGGACAGAAAAGAUGGAUGAUUACUGCUCAGUUGGUAUCUCAGGAUAGUAUUCUCCUGUAUGCUGACCAGAAGCAGUCAGAAAAGUCAGAAGGCACCACCCUAGGGCAAAACGCUGUCUCGUUUCCCUUUACAAAUGUAAAGGGUGAAAGAGUAUGGUAGUACAAAUAACAUAAAUUGCAGGUGCUCCAGUAGCGUCAAAAGUUUCACCUCGCGGACACUCUCAUUGUUUCAAAAGACAGGCAUCCGCUUUGGUAGCAGUUGAAGCUAACUUCUGUGUCUUUCUUCUUCAUUUGGUGAAGCUACUAGACAAAUGUGGAGUGUUAAGUCAUGAUGACCGGGGGAGACUUUAUGUGGGAUGUGAGGAAUAGAUCCUUCAGUCUGCCAUCAUCACUUUUAUCAUGAUCGAGACCUGAGUCUUGAUGGGGACAGAAGAAUAGUUAGUUCCACAUCAGCAAGUUUUCCAAAGGGGAAAGCUCAAAGUGUUCUGAAAGUGGUAAAGUGAUCCUGAAACCACACAAAUCCUCUGUUGUGAAUCAGAAGCAGGACAUCAGGUAACAGAUUUGUACCAGAAGGGCAGGAUGCUUCUUCUUUGAGGUUCUUAUCUCUCUUCUGAGAUCAGAAGAAGGAGGAAGCCAUCAGUCCAGCCUCAAGAAGUGCUGGAUAAAAGGCACAAGAAAUCUAAUCACUGCCCCGGUGCUGCUAACUUAAGAUGGUGAGGGACUGUAAGCCAUGCAUGGUCAGUUCGAACAGUUAACUUGAUAGGGGAACAGCAGGCUAUAAAUGAAUGUGUAGACUGUGUGGCAAUAGGUCAGCCAAAGAGGAUGAAUGCUGUGAAGAAAAAUGCACAGGGAGAAAGUGCAAAGUGCUUGCUAAUAAGAUGUGGAGCUGCCGCACUAGUCAUACUGAGAGAAAGGAUCUCAGGAAUAUUAUUAAACAGCUAUAAGAGACAUAUUUGGCAAAUGGUUGAAUUUUCUAGUAAAACAUGUAAUUCUUUAAGAGGAAAGUGUGACAGGAGUUUAUGGCAUCUUGGGUGCUGUGGCUGCUAGAAUAAGAUAGUGGAGGGAUGACAAUUUGCUGCUGAAGUACUUCUUAAAAACUCCAGUUGGUAGAAUAUUAACUUCUUUACAGGUUGAAAAGGCAAAAGAUUGAAAUUGCCUGAGGUUUCCAGGCAAAAUGGGGUAGACAGCAUUUUUCAGGACUCAUAUGGAGACUCAGACCUGUUAACAAACCUGAUUCCUGUGGGAAAUGAGGUGAUUAACUUCCUUCAUAUUGUCAGGCUCCCAGUUUCCAUAUAAAAUGAGUAAUGUGGUCAACCAGUAAUCAGUGGAGUCAGUAAACCUCCCUCAGUGGUCCACGAGGCUUUGCAUGACAACAGAGCAGGAUCUCUUUUAGUAAAUACAGUGAAAACCCGGAGUGCAGGAGUAGAAAACCUGAAAAUGGCUACAGAUAAGGUGGGGAGUGGGAGAUGUUUGUGUGACUCAGUGUACUUCAGGGGUGCUGUUUGGAAAAACAAGGACUUACUGACAGCCUGAGAGGCUCCAAUUGCCAGCUUCCCAGUAGAUUUCUGCACCCCAAAUUGGUUAGUUACUGAUUGGCAGAUUCAGCAUAGCUGCACAAACAAGGCUUCAGAGCAUAAUUAUCACAGUCCUCAUGGCAGACUCAGGUGCCCGGAACACUAUGAGCUGAUGAUGACAGUGGGAGAAUAUUAACUCUUGGCAGAGAUGUCUGGAUGUCAGUGCUCCACUUCAGAAAAAUUUGUGCUCACAUCUGUUUAUAGCAGGCCCAUAUGACUGUGUGGUCCUAGAGGAUGGUGCCGUCUACAGUCCAGAGAGGUCUAUUUGCUUGCUGCAUUCCAUAACCUCAGCACAGGUGGAGAAAGUGGUACCUACCGGAGGCUGAAAUUCUGGUGAACAGAAGUUUCUGUGAAUAAUUCAUCUUGAAACCUAUGCUUAGUGGACCCACGGUGUCUCCUGGGAGACGCUGUUCAGUACUGAAUUAGCAGUAAAGGAAUUCAGAAACAAGGAGCUUGAUUCAGCUGGAAAAAAAAAAAAGCCGUUUAUAAUGAAGCUCUGCAUAUUUCUUCCUAGGGGUUUUUGUUUAUGAAUUAUUCCUUUUAAAAAUGAAAACUAUUAGUUA